AUGCAGAAGUGGGCCCCCGCCGACCCCUCCGCGCCCGCGCCCGCCCCCUCCCCGGGCCACGCGCCCUCGACCUCCAUCGACCGCAUCGUCCACCGCCUCCGCAACCUCGGCCUCGGCACCGACGACGACGAGCCCUCCUCCUCCCCCGCCGACGCCCCGCUCGACGGCAGGGAGCGCCUCGGCGACCUGCUCGACCGCAGCUGGGCGCGCCCCGACCGCCAGUUCGCCGCCUCCGGCCUCGACGAGGCCGUCCUCCCGUGGGAGAGGGACCGGGAGAGCGACGGCGAGGAGGCGGACGGGGUCAAGAGGAAGCGGGUCAGGGCGCCCUCCCUUGCGGAGCUCACCAUGGACGACGUGGAGCUGCGCCGCCUGCGGGGCAUGGGCAUGACCCUCAAGGACCGCAUCACCGUGCCCAAGGCCGGGGUCACGCAGGCCAUCACGGAGAAGAUCCACGACGCCUGGAGGAAGUCGGAGCUGGUCCGCCUCAAGUUCCACGAGGACCUCGCCAACGACAUGAAGACUGCCCAUGAGCUUGUCGAGAGACGAACAGGAGGAUUGAUCAUAUGGAGGGCAGGGAGUGUCAUGGUUGUCUAUCGCGGGAGCAAUUACACGAGGCCUCUGAAAUCUCAACCUUUGGACGGUACCUCGUCACUGAGGAAGGGUGAAGAUAGUACAUUGUUCAUCCCCGAUGGCUCGAGCACUGCUGAGAGUGAUAAUCAGGGGAAGGAUCUAACUGCUCAACAUGAUAAUGCACCCAUAUUGGAUCUGCACAAUACAGAGGACAUGACGGAAGAAGAGCUGGAGUUCAAUCAAAUGCUUGAUGAGCUGGGCCCUCGUUUCGUGGAUUGGUGGGGAACAGGAAUUUUACCUGUGGAUGCCGACUUGCUGCCUCAAACAAUUCCAGGUUAUAAAGCGCCAUUUAGAGUUCUUCCAACUGGAAUGCGUACAAGCCUUACCAACUCAGAGCUCACUAAUUUGCGAAAGUUAGCAAGGAACCUCCCUUGUCAUUUUGCUCUAGGGAGAAACCGGAAUCAUCAAGGCUUGGCCGCGGCUAUUGUUAAGCUUUGGGAGAAGAGUUUGGUGGUGAAAAUAGCUGUCAAACGUGGAAUCCAGAACACAAAUAAUAAGCUGAUGUCAGACGAAAUAAAGAAUCUAACAGGGGGUACCCUGCUUCUUCGAAAUAAAUAUUACAUUGUAAUAUAUCGUGGAAAAGACUUCCUCCCAACGUCUGUUGCUGCUGCCUUGGCUGAAAGAGAGGAGUUGACAAAAGAUAUCCAGAAUCUAGAGGAGCAGAGAAGAUCCAUUUCCAUUGAACACUCUCCGGAGGAUGGUUUUGAUGGGCAUGCUCUCGUAGGAACUCUUGCUGAAUUUCAGGAGGCGCAAGCCCGUUGGGGAAGAAAUGUAACUUCUAAGGAGCAACAAGAGAUGAAAGAAGCGUCUUUUAGAUCAGAAAAGGAAAAGCUUUUCAGAAGACUCGAACACAAGCUUUCCAUUGCUCAAGCAAAAAUACAUAAAGCAGGGAAGUUAUUAUCAAAGAUUGAAGCUUCUAUGGUCCUUGCAAACCCAUCCGAUGACCGAGAAAUGAUCACAGCCGAGGAGAGAUCUGUUUUCCGUAGAAUUGGUCUGAAAAUGAAAGCAUAUUUGCCUGUUGGAAUCCGUGGUGUCUUUGAUGGCGUCAUUGAAAAUAUGCACUUGCACUGGAAGCACAGGGAAGUUGUCAAAUUGAUUACAAAGCAAAAGACCUUGGCGUUUGUUGAGGAGACAGCACGACUUCUAGAGUAUGAGAGUGGCGGUAUACUAGUUGCAAUCGAAAGAGUCCCCAAGGGUCACGCACUUAUUUUUUACCGUGGAAAGAAUUACAGGAGGCCUAUUAACAUAAGGCCUAGAAAUCUCUUAACAAAGGCUAAGGCAUUGAAACGUGCAGUUGCAAUGCAACGCCAUGAAGCCCUCAGCCAGCAUAUAGAUCAACUGGAAUUCAAUAUGAAGCAAAUGAAGCGUGAUUUGGGCAUGGAGGACUACGAUGAAGAGGCCGAGGAUGCGUCAGAUUCAGAAAGUGAAGACGAUACAGCGGGCUAUGAUGAGGGUAUGGAGGACUAUGAUAAAGAGGAAGAGGAUGAAUCGGAUUCAGAAGAUGAAGACAACUAG
rnacentral:rRNA from 1 species